CUCCCUGGCAAUGGGUAAAGAGACAUCUUGAUGGUGAUAAUGUUCUUAUAUCACUCCGGGGCAGAGCAGAUAGUUCUUUGUUUAUCCUAGCUUAGGCCCUGGCUUGAUGGCCAAAGCUGUCUCAUGCCUAGGACUCAUAA